rnacentral:rRNA from 1 species
AUGCAGUCGAGCGGAACGAGAAUAGCUUGCUAUUCGGCGUCGAGCGGCGGACGGGUGAGUAAUGCUUGGGAAUAUGCCUUUGAGUGGGGGACAACAGUUGGAAACGACUGCUAAUACCGCAUAACGUCUACGGACCAAAGGGGGGGACGCUUCGGCACCUCUCGCUCAUUGAUUAGCCCAAGUGAGAUUAGCUAGUUGGUAAGGUAAUGGCUUACCAAGGCGACGAUCUCUAGCUGGUUUGAGAGGAUGAUCAGCCACACUGGGACUGAGACACGGCCCANACUCCUACGGGAGGCAGCAGUGGGGAAUAUUGCACAAUGGGCGAAAGCCUGAUGCANCCAUGCCGCGUGUGUGAAGAAGGCCUUCGGGUUGUAAAGCACUUUCAGCGAGGAGGAAAGGUUAGUAGUUAAUAACUGCUAGCUGUGACGUUACUCGCANAANAAGCACCGGCUAACUUCGUGCCAGCAGCCGCGGUAAUACGAGGGGUGCAAGCGUUAAUCGGAAUUACUGGGCGUAAAGCGUGCGUAGGUGGUUUGUUAAGCAAGAUGUGAAAGCCCUGGGCUCAACCUGGGAACUGCAUUUUGAACUGGCAAGCUAGAGUUUUGUAGAGGGUAGUGGAAUUUCCAGUGUAGCGGUGAAAUGCGUAGAGAUUGGAAGGAACAUCAGUGGCGAAGGCGGCUACCUGGACAAAGACUGACACUGAGGCACGAAAGCGUGGGGAGCAAACAGGAUUAGAUACCCUGGUAGUCCACGCCGUACACGAUGUCAACUAGCCGUCUGUAGACUUGAUCUGUGGGUGGCGUAGCUAACGCGCUAAGUUGACCGCCUGGGGAGUACGGCCGCAAGGUUAAAACUCAAAUGAAUUGACGGGGGCCCGCACAAGCGUGGAGCAUGUGGUUUAAUUCGAUGCAACGCGAAGAACCUUACCAUCCCUUGACAUCCAGAGAGAGACUAGAGAUAGACUUGUGCCUUCGGGACUCUG